UAACUAGAACAUGUGCUUCACUUUUAUUUAAAUCUAGCAGCAAUUUGCAAGGGGUGUAUGUUCUAUUUAUAUUAUUGGCUAAUGUAUUUAUUUGCAACAUGGCCUUUAAGUUGUUCUCACCCUAAUCAACCGCUAGUAGCUAGAUAGACUGCGUUUAAACAACGUUUGGCGCAGCAGAUGCAGGAACUAGCUAGCUAACAAGUUAGCAAGCUAGCUGGCUACUAUCGUCCCUACAAGGAAUGGUUACCAGCCGUCCUGCGCGCAGGUUGUUGUUGUUCGCUUUAGGACUAGCCCGAGUUCAUCUUAUUUAGUUAGCUAUGGACUCAAUGUCUUUAAUACGAGGUGUUUUAUUGCGAAAUGACGACUCGCCUUAUCAAAACCUCAACCGAGAAUUCGCAACGAGAAUUUCUUAUCCUAGCCCUGAGUCACCGACUCGUCAAGUACCCGACAUCACAGAGACCAGCGCUGGUCUGGAGUGGUUUGAGAUGGGCCUAGCGACCUCAUCUGGUCCCGCGAGGAGCACAACAGACCAGGGAGUACCGCGGUCUCCUUAUGUCACUGGAUCAGUCUGCACCCAAAGCUCUCCAAUCAGCAACUUUGCAGUUCCAUCCACCCCAGUGCAGAGCUGGGGGAUUCCCCAUAAUCCGGAGGAGGAUCCAUGGACGGCUAGUUCUACACAGCACAGAACACAACCAUCCCCCCUGGGUAACGGACCCUCAGAACCCCUGGGUACAUUCCUCUCGAUGAGUAGACACCUCCUAAUGCACUGUUAGAGAAGUGGUCCCUCUUACCAUACACAGAAGUGUGGCUUUGCAUGUUUUUUAAGUUCUUACUUUAUCAUCUUGGUCAUGUGAUCAGCAAGGACAGCUCAAUUCACAGAAGCUAAUGGUAUUUUUCCCUCUGAAACAGCUCAAACUGUCCCUGUUAUCAGAAAGAGGAGGGUUUAUGCACUAGCCCAGCCAGUGAGAAGCAUAUCUGAAGAGGACCUAUCUAGUAAAGAAGGGAUAUCGGAGAGGGGGAGCAGAAAAGGGAAAGACAGCAGACCUAUCCUGGGAGAUCUGUUUGAUUAACACACUGACUGAUUUGUAACUGCCGCUGACUUUUUAAUGUUUGAUUAUUUCCUAUGUAAUGCUGGUGAACUCUGAUUUGAGAUUCUCAAUUCUCCAUUGUGGAUGGUCUUUUAAAGUAACGUACAAUUCCUUACAGAUUACCUAGUUUGAUCCCCUCCUGUUUGUAAUAUGUUUAAUCAGUUUUGCAGUAUGUCAUUGUUCUAAUAAAAUAUUAUCAAAAAGGUUGAAAUAGUAGAACAUUUAAAAUUUACAGAGUGAAAUAGUAGUAUAGUGACAACCACUAAAUGUCACUGUUGUGUUAUUUCCUGUCUACCACUUUCCUCUCUCAUACUGCUGGGUGUGUGAGUGAGAGGUUAUCCUGUGAUCUUGUACUUCACUGAGAAAAAUGAAACAUGCACUAGUAGAUAAUCUUUAACGGGUCGUGUCUAAGGGGGCAUCGGGUCACCCCCUACUUCUUCUGACCCUUCAUCCUUCCAUGACAUAGAAAGAUGUGAAUAGACAAACACUGAAGUUUUUGUCUGAAGUGGAUGUGAAUUUAACAGGAUUCGGAAUGUCUAGGACAGAGAAGGGUAAUGACAUUGUCAGACUAGCCAUCCCCAAAUGAGUGCCCAAAUGGGGCAAUCGUUUUUCCACAGACUGGCAGAUGGGCCAGGUACUCUAGGAACUCAUGAGUUUGCUAAACAACAGCCUUAUGUAGAACUUUGAUUUGUAUAUUCAGUCUGCUUUGAAACGUAAUGAAUAUGUCUCUACGUACAGUGGAAAAAUACCCGAUAUAUAAACAAAUAUAUAUUAAGAAGAAGAAUUAGGGAACCCUUUCAAGAGUAUACAGGCCUUAAGCCUUUGUGUUGGGAAAGAUAAAUUGUUGGAUUAUUGAAUUCAAUGAGACUCCUCUACCCUUGAGUGGGUGACCUGCUCAUCCUCAGGGCCUAUGCAUGAAGGGUCCACUAUCCCACACAUAUGGUGGAGAAUUGCCACACUCACCUACAAAAUGGAUUAGGGAGCAUAUUAACAUCAUCUGGAGUCUUAUCAGGUGUUAAAUUUGGAUAGUCUGUCUCCCUGAUUUUUGUUUUUUCUAAAAUUGCCACUAUAUAUUCUGUUUUGCUACACCCCCCCCCUCAUCCCUACCACCACACACAUUAGACAUGGGAUUGAUGUGGGAGGGAGGGUGGGUCACCUAAUCCCUGUUAGGGUGGAGGCACAAAGCGCAUGUCGGUGCAGGAGGGGCCAAAUGCUUACAUCACAUCUGUCUCACUCUAAUGACACAUUUUGAUCGUCCUUUAUAGAUCAUCCCUGCCCUUUUACUUCUACAUGACUUGGCUUGCUGACAGCACAUUGUCGUUCACACCAAUCAAUACCUGAAUCGUAAAAUGGUGAGAGUGGUUGGGGCUGGAACCAGGGUUAGGGUGAUAGGGUGGCUGGGGCUGGAACCGGGGUGGGUGAGAGGAUGGUUGGUGCUGGGACCAGGGUUAGGGUGAUAGGGUGGCUGGGACCAGGGUUAGGGUGCGAGUAUGGUUGGUGCUGGGACCAGGGUUAGGGUGAUAGGGUGGCUGGAACCGGGGUGGGUGAGAGGAUGGUUUGGGGGCUCUGCUGUGGAAUGCAUGGAGAUUGACAGGAGGGACAGCAGAGUUUGAUGGAGGGAUACAAAUAGUUAGACAUGUCACAAGCCACCGCACACCCCUCGACACAAUAGAACCAGGGACAUGGGGGGGUGAGUUGUCACUUUGACUCCACUUUCUUUCAGCUUCCCUCCUCACACCCUCUUGAGCCUUUUGGGGGGUUCUUGACAUGACACAUUUGGCCCUUUGUUUCCCUUGCCAACAUUUACCCAUCCACCCCUUUCACUCCUUUCACUCUCUGAAAAACAUUUCUAUCUUCCUUUUUCAGAAAUAAAGUUGUAGAUGUACCCUAUCCUGUGUGUCCUCUUGUGUGGAUGAGCUCCAUUGACUUUUUCCCCCAUAUUUUCUUACGUUACAGCCUUAUUUUAAAAUGGAUGAAAUUCUUUUUCCCCUUAUCAAUCCACACACAAUACCCCAUAAUGGCAAAGCGAAAACAUGUUUUUUGACAUUUUUGCAAGAUGUAUUAAAAAUAAAAGACAGAAAUACCUUAUUUACAUAAUUAUUCAGACCCUUUGCUAUGAGACUCGAAAUUGAGCUCAUCCUGUUGCCAUUGAUAAUCCUUGAGAUGUUUCUACAACUUGAUUGGAGUCCACCUGUGGUAAAUGCAAUUGAUUGGACAUGAUUUCGAAAGGCACACACGUCUAUAUUAGGUUCCACAGUUGACAGUGCAUGUCUGAGCAAAAACCAAACCAUGAGGUCAAAGGAAUUGUCCGUAGAGCUCCGAGACAGGAUUUUGUCGAGGCACCGAUCUGGAGAAAGGUAGCAAAAAAUGUCUGCAGCAUUGAAGGUCCCCAAGAACAGUGGCCUCCUUCAUUCUUAAAUGGAACCACCAAGACUCUUCCUAGAGCUAGCUGCCAGGCCAAACUGAGCAAUCAGGGGAGAAGGGCCUUGGUUAAGGAAGUGACCAAGAACCUGAUGGUCACUCUGACAGAGCUCUAGAGUUCCUCUGUGGAGAUGGGAGAACCUUCCAGAAAGACAACCAUAUCUGCAGCACUCCACCAGUCAGGCCUUUAUGGUAGUGGUAAAAGGCACAAGACAGCCUGCUCAGACCAUGAUAAACAAUAUUCUCUAGUCUGUUGAAACCAAUAACUUUUUGGCUUGAAUACCAAGCGUCAUGUCUGGAAGAAACCUGGCACCAUCCCUACGGUGAAGCAUGGUGAUGGCAAAAUCAUGCUGUGAGGAUGUUUUUCAGCAGCAGUGACUGGGAGACUAGUCAGGAUCGAGGCAAAGAUGAAUGGAGCAAAGUACAGAGAGAUCCUUGAUGAUAACCUGCUCCAGAGUGCUCAGGACCUCAGACUGUGGUGAAGGUUCACCUUCCAACAGGACAACGACCCUAAGCACACAGCCAAGACAACACAGGAGUGGCUUCGGGACAAGUCUGAAGGUUCCGAUCGAACAUCUGAAAAUACACUGCUCAA